AGCUUUGCGCAGUGGCAGUAUCGUAGCCAAUGAGUUUUAUCUGAGGCGCGAUUAUUGCUAUUUUAGAGAGAGAGAGAGAGAGAGCAC
rnacentral:snRNA from 1 species